ACUGUAAAAGCCAACAACAUUGUGGGAGAGCUAUUAAAAAAGGAUAUUUUGUUUGGAUAUUAAGGUUAAGAUUUACUGGGGAUCUGUGGCCCACAGAGGCUUUGAGCAGAUCCCCCACCCCAAAAAGGGUGCACACCAGCAAGCCUUUCCUCAGCUUGGGGGAAGACAAGGCUGGAGACUGAGCCUUAUCACAAACAUACGUCUCAGCUCAGCCACAAUGUGAAACACCUUGAGCUUGAUUUCAGAUAACAGUCACAGCCUGUUGAAGCUGCCUUGAAAUCCUGCUGAAAGGGCAGCUCUGGCUCCCUUGGCUUGUUUCUCUGUGCCUGUUUGUUGUCUUGUGUUUGUACCAGCCCUGCCACAUCCAGAAGUUAUUCUGAAAUGAAAAGGGAGUUCAAGAGGAAGCCAAUUGUUCCAGCAUUACAGCAUCCAGGACAGAACAUAUAUUGGCAUCAUAACUGCUUACGGUCAGUUGUACCUCUCAAGUCUCAAACACACUUCAGGGAUAUUUUAUGCUUAACUGAUGCAGCCUGUCCAAAGUCACUCUCUGGUCUAAAAAACAGCAUUUUCACAGAAGCUCUCACUGCAAUCCACAUACACUCAGAAGAUGUGGAAUCACUGCAAGUUAAAAGUUCCUGCUGAGGAUUGUCAAUCAGCUGAGGAUCAGCACCCCCUUCUGGCUUCAACAGUGUGGGGUGAGAGCUGGAACUGCCAUCAUCACGUAAGAAACCUUUACAGGAGCAACAAAGUAAAAGCAAACAUAUUCUAAAACUUGCCGUAAUAAAUAGGCAAAGGAAUAUCAAUGCUGGGGGCAUUUCCCCAUGGAAAAGGGCCACUGUUCGUAUCCAGGGCCUUGGGCCUGGGUUUCUGCAUGCUAAAAUUCGGAGCAGUGCAGGAUUUCCCCCAGAUCACAGCCGUCACCACCUCCAGCGCCGGCUGCCCUUGGAGCGCCAAACGCCUCCUCCAUCAGGAGGAGGUAUCCGGAAACUGGGGCUGAGUUUUGUUCCCCAUGGACACUGCGGCAGUCAGGUGGCUGUGGCGGUGGAGCCACGUGACGCCCCCAGCAGUCACGUG
rnacentral:lncRNA from 1 species